rnacentral:rRNA from 1 species
ACGGAGGGGGCUAGCGUUGUUCGGAAUUACUGGGCGUAAAGCGUGCGUAGGCGGCCUUUCAAGUUGGGUGUGAAAGCCCGGGGCUUAACCCCGGAAAUGCGCCCAGGACUGUUUGGCUAGAGUCUCGGAGAGGUGAGUGGAACUCCCAGUGUAGAGGUGAAAUUCGUAGAUAUUGGGAAGAACACCAGUGGCGAAGGCGGCUCACUGGACGAGUACUGACGCUGAGGCACGAAAGCGUGGGGAGCAAACAGGA